GAUGAACGCUGGCGGCGUGCCUAAUACAUGCAAGUCGAGCGAACAGACGAGGAGCUUGCUCCUCUGACGUUAGCGGCGGACGGGUGAGUAACACGUGGAUAGCCUACCUAUAAGACUGGGAUAACUUCGGGAAACCGGAGCUAAUACCGGAUAAUAUAUUGAACCGCAUGGUUCAAUAGUGAAAGACGGUUUUGCUGUCACUUAUAGAUGGAUCCGCGCCGCAUUAGCUAGUUGGUAAGGUAACGGCUUACCAAGGCGACGAUGCGUAGCCGACCUGAGAGGGUGAUCGGCCACACUGGAACUGAGACACGGUCCAGACUCCUACGGGAGGCAGCAGUAGGGAAUCUUCCGCAAUGGGCGAAAGCCUGACGGAGCAACGCCGCGUGAGUGAUGAAGGUCUUCGGAUCGUAAAACUCUGUUAUUAGGGAAGAACAAAUGUGUAAGUAACUAUGCACGUCUUGACGGUACCUAAUCAGAAAGCCACGGCUAACUACGUG
rnacentral:rRNA from 1 species